GGGUUGUGAGGUUAAGCGACUAAGCGUACACGGUGGAUGCCCUGGCAGUCAGAGGCGAUGAAGGACGUGCUAAUCUGCGAUAAGCGUCGGUAAGGUGAUAUGAACCGUUAUAACCGGCGAUUUCCGAAUGGGGAAACCCAGUGUGAUUCGUCACACUAUCAUUAACUGAAUCCAUAGGUUAAUGAGGCGAACCGGGGGAACUGAAACAUCUAAGUACCCCGAGGAAAAGAAAUCAACCGAGAUUCCCCCAGUAGCGGCGAGCGAACGGGGAGCAGCCCAGAGCCUGAAUCAGUGUGUGUGUUAGUGGAAGCGUCUGGAAAGGCGCGCGAUACAGGGUGACAGCCCCGUACACAAAAAUGCACAUGCUGUGAGCUCGAUGAGUAGGGCGGGACACGUGGUAUCCUGUCUGAAUAUGGGGGGACCAUCCUCCAAGGCUAAAUACUCCUGACUGACCGAUAGUGAACCAGUACCGUGAGGGAAAGGCGAAAAGAA
rnacentral:rRNA from 1 species